UCUAAGCGACGGGGCGAGACGGGGCGAGACGGGGCCGGUAGGUGGCAGGAGGGGGCCGGGCCUGAGCCGGCGGGAGGGCCAGGCCCCGAGGCCCCCGCCCUGGCUUGCCCGCCCUGGACACGGAGGAGAAAAAGGAGGAUGAUCUCCAGAUACACUCGGAAGGCCGUGCCACAGAGCGUGGAGCUGAAAGGACUAACAAAGCAUGCUCUUAACCACCAUCCCCUUCCAGAGCAGCUGGAUGACAUCUCCUCUACCAACGACAGCCAGGAGAAAGAUACAAGUUCUCAAAGUGAAUCUGACAUCACCCAAGAAUCACCUAUUACAUCCACUGACACUGGGAAUUCGCGUUCUGCUUUUCCAAGCUAUGCAGGCACAGGGAUCUCAACAGAAGGCAGCUCCGACUUCUCUUGGGGAUAUGGUGAACUUGACCAAAAUGCCACUGAGAAAGUCCAGGCCAUGUUCACAGCCAUCGACGAGCUCCUGUAUGAGCAGAAGCUGAGCAUGCAUACACAGAGCCUGCAGAGAGAGUGCCAGCAGUGGGCAUCCAGCUUUCCUCACCUCAGGAUUCUGGGUAAGCAGAUAAUCACUCCGAGUGAAGGCUAUGGAUUGUAUCCUAGAUCCCCUUCUGCUGUGUCAGCUUCACAUGAAGCAACCUUGUCUCAAGAAAGAGAGUCUACCAUAUUUGGUAUAAGGGGAAAGAAGUUACAUUUCUCAUCUUCUUACAAAGCAUCUCCCACCAUCAAAGCCUCUGACUUAUGUGCUAUUGGAGGAGAGGAGACAGACUGUAUAAUCUUUUCUGAAGGAAUAAUAGAGGAGUACCUAGCUUUUGACCACACUGAUAUGGAAGAGGGAUUUCAUGGAAACAAAUCAGAAGCAGCUACAGAGAAACAGAAAUUAGGGUACCCUCCCAUUGCACCAUUUUACUGCAUGAAAGAGGAUGUUCUUGCUUAUGUGUUUGACAACGUGUGGAGCAAGGUUGUGGGCUGUAUGGAGCAGUUGACACGUAGUCACUGGGAGGGAUUUGCCUCUGAGAAGAGGCCGAAUGAGAACACAGCAAGCAGGUGGCCAUCUACAAGCCAGAAAGAGAAGCCUUAAGAGAGCCCAGCCCUGAUGGCAUCUUGAUCUUGGACCCCAGAACUAUGAUGAGAGUAACGUUGAAAUUACCAGACUGGAUUCGGGAAGUCCCUAUGUGCUGAACGAACAGCAUCCUUUGGUCUUACCUCGAGUGCCGCAGUCUAAGGUGCUGUCAAUCACCUCAAAUCCGAUGAGUUUCUGUCAAGCAAGUGGUCAUCAGCCAAACGUGAAUGGCCUCUUGAUUCAUGGGAUGCCUCUGCAGCCAAGGAAUCUCUCCCUGAUGGAUAAGCUCCUAGAUCUUGAUGACAAGCUACUUAUGAGGCCUGGGUCCAGUUCCGUCCUUUCAAACCGAAAUUGGCCAAACCGAGCCAUGGAGCUUAGUACGUCAUCUUUGUCAUAUGCAACGCAGUCUGCCAGGAGGCGCAAUCCCCCACCACGUACUCUUCAUCCCAUCAGCACAAACCACUCACAAGCUGGAACACCAUGGCCUGCAGAAGAAAUCCUCAGAGGACCCCGGGUUGCAGUGACAGCAGACACACUCUCUUCUCCCUCUCCAAUGACCUUGGGUCGGAACAAUCUGCUGCCACCUAUUGGAACAGCUGAAGUAGAACACCUGAGCACCAUGGGGCCACAACGACCAACAAAAUCCCACGGUGACUCCAGCCGAGCCCGAAGUGCAGUGGUGGACGAGCCUAACCAGCAGCCCCAAGAAAGGCUCCUUUUGCCUGUCUUCUCUAGACCCAACACAACGCAGUCAUUUUUGCCAGACACACAGUACCGAAGUUCAUGUGCAUCUGAGUAUCCUCAUCAGGCUCGACCUGGCAGGGGGUCUGCAGGUCCUCAGUCACAUGGGUCUACAAAACCUCAGAGCAGAGGUGGGCCCAUCUCUAGAACCAGGCAGUGAUCAUAGGGCAAGUGAGACCUGCAAGUUGCAGCAGACUUGAGAACACAUGAGAACACAUGGAGGCUUUCAUGAACCAGCACUCAGGCACCGGAUGAUGCAAAGCUCCUACAAAAGCAGCUUGGUCCAUCAAGAGUUAUCUUGGUAUAAGUAUCCAAGAAAUACUACAGAGUAUCUGCCAAAGACUGCACGGGUAACUGUCCUAUGUGCAGUUACUGUCUUCUUUCAGCUUUAGUUAACCUAUUCCAUGGGGCAGUAAAGAUUGUACCCAAAGACUUGACAAUGAAAAACCACCCCAAAUCACUGCUCAUGUUGUCUGUAACCAAUCACCUGUUUGAUUCUCGUACAAUUCAGUGAGAUUACAUACAAAUGAUUCAGAUCACUGGGUUCAGAAUAUUUCUGCUUAUUCUAAUUUUUGGAGAACUGCAGUUUUAACAUAUUUUUUAGGAGAAAUUGCUGCCAACAAUCUGAUAUAUUCAUCAAAUAAAUGUCAUUCCUAAACUUGGAA